CCUACGGGGUGCUGCAGUGGGGAAUAUUGGACAAUGGGCGAAAGCCUGAUCCAGCCAUGCCGCGUGUGUGAAGAAGGCCUUCGGGUUGUAAAGCACUUUCAGUGGGGAAGAAAGCCUUGGGGCUAAUACCCUCGAGGAAGGACAUCACCCACAGAAGAAGCACCGGCUAACUCCGUGCCAGCAGCCGCGGUAAUACGGAGGGUGCGAGCGUUAAUCGGAAUUACUGGGCGUAAAGCGCGCGUAGGCGGUCUGAUAAGCCGGUUGUGAAAGCCCCGGGCUCAACCUGGGAACGGCAUCCGGAACUGUCAGGCUAGAGUGCAGGAGAGGAAGGUAGAAUUCCCGGUGUAGCGGUGAAAUGCGUAGAGAUCGGGAGGAAUACCAGUGGCGAAGGCGGCCUUCUGGACUGACACUGAUGCUGAGGUGCGAAAGCGUGGGUAGCAAACAGGAUUAGAUACCCUGGUAGUC
rnacentral:rRNA from 1 species